AUCCAGCUGACGAGUCCUAAAUAGGACGAAAUGCGCUUUUUGGAU
rnacentral:hammerhead_ribozyme from 1 species